AGGGCAGACACUCAGAACCUGAGACUGUGUCAAUCCAGGGUAGACACUCAGAACCUGAGACUGUGUCUAUCCAGGGUAGACACUCAGAACCUGAGGCAGCAUAUGUCCU
ensembl:miRNA Mir3561 microRNA 3561